UACGUAGGGUGCGAGCGUUUAAUCGGAAUUACUGGGCGUAAAGCGUGCGCAGGCGGUUUUGUAAGCCAGAUGUGAAAUCCCCGGGCUUAACCUGGGAAUGGCAUUUGGGACUGCAAGGCUUGAGUGCGGCAGAGGAGACUGGAAUUCCUGGUGUAGCAGUGAAAUGCGUAGAUAUCAGGAGGAAUACCGAUGGCGAAGGCAGGUCUCUGGGCUGACACUGACGCUCAUGCACGAAAGCGUGGGGAGCAAACAGG
rnacentral:rRNA from 1 species